rnacentral:rRNA from 1 species
AUACGGAGGGUGCGAGCGUUAAUCGGAAUUACUGGGCGUAAAGCGCUCGUAGGCGGCCUGUUAAGUCGGAUGUGAAAGCCCCGGGCUCAACCUGGGAACUGCAUUCGAAACUGGCAGGCUAGAGUAUAGUAGAGGCAAGUGGAAUUCCGGGUGUAGCGGUGAAAUGCGUAGAUAUCCGGAGGAACAUCAGUGGCGAAGGCGACUUGCUGGACUAAUACUGACGCUGAGGAGCGAAAGCGUGGGGAGCAAACGGGAUUAGAUACCCCAGUAGUCC